GGGAGCUCAGAUGGGUUCUGUUUUGUUUACAACACAGCUGUACUGGAGCCCUCUCUGGAUUGCCAGCAUGUGGAUCAUAAAAAAUCCACAGGGUUCGUCUAAGCUUAGUGGAAGACCACUCAGAUAUUACUGUGUUUUACCAACAGGACAUAUACUUAGAGUCUCCAGUUAUACAGUCUUCUGUAUCAAGCAUCUUCAUUUUUUGGGAAGAAUGCUGCAAAAAGCAAAUAGCUCCAUGAGCAGCACUGAGGAACAGACUGACAAAGUGUUUUCUGGGAAUGACUGUAUUUCCUUUGGAGGACUUUCUGGUUGGAAAUUGGAAGUCUGGAGAUUUUU